GACGAACGCUGGCGGCGUGCUUAACACAUGCAAGUCGAGCGGUAAGGCCCUUUCGGGGGUACACGAGCGGCGAACGGGUAGAGUAACACGUGGGUGGACCUGCCCUCCAGCUCUGGGAGUAAGCCUGGGAAACCGGGUACUAAUACCGGAUAUGACUCCAUGACGCAUGUUGGUGGGGUGGAAAGCCUUGUGCGGCUGAGGAUGGG
rnacentral:rRNA from 1 species